AUGUUGGGGAGGAAAUAAAUACCAAUAAUUGGUUGCACCAAGAAAAUUUUUCGAGGGUAUCCGAAAGACAGCAGUAGAUUUAAAGGGGGAUAACUAGGUUAUGACAAUCAAGUGUUCAUAGCGACGUCGCUUCUUGAUCCUUCGGUGCUGACUCUAUUGAUCAUGCCGAAGCAGAAUUCUGUAAGCUUUGGAUUGUUUAUUCACCCAUAGGGAGCGUGAGCUGGGUUUAGACCGUCGUGAAAGAUUGGUUUUACCCUGCAGAUAAAAUCUUGUUGCAGUAAUAUUUGAACUUUGUACGAGAACAACCGCUCAUUCGGAGAAGUGGUAUCUGGGCCUGCCUGAGCAGGCAAUGGCCCGAAGUUAUCAUCCGUUGGGUUAUGGCUGAACGCCUCUAAGUCAAAACCCGUUUUAGAGCGCGACGAUUACCGUCUUAUCCCAUUUUUAGUUGGAUAAGAAUAGACCCACGGUCCUUAAUCUUACUAACCUAGGAUUGUUGUGCAUUUCACACAAAAUAUUUUGUUUUGGCCGCUAAACUUCGAUUAGCCAGCUAUUCAUGACAACAUUUUGCUCCAGACCUAUGCAAACCCCGCUCACAACUGGAUGAGUGGUUAAUUGUUUUACUCAUUUUAGUUGAAAGGCCCAAUAUAUUGCAGAGCGGAAAGACUUUAUGAGGUAAUCACUAAUGUUAAUAUCAAAUAUCAGAAGAGAUAAAUCCAUUGCAGACGACAAUACUUGGUCGGAGUAAUGUAACCAGUGGGGCAGCCUGGUUUCUACGAUCUGCUGAGAUUAAUCCCAUUGUUCUAUGGCUUU
rnacentral:ncRNA from 1 species